GACGAACCGUCCAAACGUUAUUCGGAAUUAUUGGGCUUAAAGGGUGCGUAGGCUGUGCAGUAAGUUGGGUGUGAAAUCCCUCGGCUCAACCGAGGAACUGCGCCGAAUACUGCUGUGCUAGAGGAAGAUAGGGGUAAGCGGAACUGAUGGUGGAGCGGUGAAAUGCGUUGAUAUCAUCAGGAACACCGGUGGCGAAGGCGGCUUACUGGAUCUUUUCUGACGCUGAUGCACGAAAGCUAGGGGAGCGAACAGG
rnacentral:rRNA from 1 species